rnacentral:tRNA from 1 species
GGGGCUUUAGCUCAGUGGUAGAGUGCUUGCCUUUCAUGCGUGAGGCCCUGGGUUUGAUCCCCAGCACCA